ensembl:lncRNA
CACUGGGAAAGACUGAAGGCAAAAGAAGGGGGGACCAGAGGAUGAGAUGGUUAGAUAGCAUCACCACCUCAAUGGACAUGAAUUUGAGCAAACUCUGGGAGACAGUGGAGGACAGAGGAGCCUGGCACGCUGCAGUCCACGAAUCGCAAAGAGCUGGUCACGACUUCGCAAUUGAAUAACAAAGGAAACAUCAAGCUAAGUACAAAGCUCCAUUUCCCAGUGUGCCACUCAGCCUGAAGUAGAGGAGGUUGGGUAACCGUGUAAUAAGUAUCAAGUACAAGCUGGAAUGGGAAUUAAAACCGUGUGUGACGGUAAAGAAUCCGCCUGCAAUGCGGAAGACCUCUGUUUGAUGCCUGGAUGGGGAAGAUCCCCUGGAGAAGGACAUGGCAACCCACUGCAGUAUUCUUGCCUGGAGAAUCCCCGUGGACAAAGGAGCCUGGCGGGCUACAGUCCAUGGGUCCGAGUCACACGACUGAGCAACGAAGGCUUUCACGUUCACAUGCCGGGGUAUCACCGCUGCUCGUGCGCCAUCUAGUGGUCCAUGCUGUGAUAUUUUCUGUUUUUUUGCUGAGGUAGAAAACACUUUAAAAGACGUUUCAGAUCAGAUCAGAUCAGUCGCUCAGUCGUGUCCGACUCUUUGCGACCCCAUGAAUCGCAGCAUGCCAGGCCUCCCUGUCCAUCACCAACUCCCGGAGUUCACUCAGACUCACAUCCAUCGAGUCAGUGGUGCCAUCCAGCCAUCUCAUCCUCUGUCGUCUCCUUCCCCUCCUGCCCCCAAUCCCUCCCAGCAUCAGGGGCUUUUCCAAUGAGUCAACUCUUCGCAUGAGGUGGCCAAAGGACUGGAGUUUCAGCUUUAGCAUCAUUCCUUCCAAAGAAAUCCCAGGGCUGAUUUCCUUCAGAAUGGACUGGUUGGAUCUCCUUGCAGUCCAAGGGACUCUCAAGAGUCUUCUCCAACACCACAGUUCAAAAGCAUCAAUUCUUUGGUGCUCAGCCUUCUUCACAGUCCAACUCUCACAUCCAUACAUGACCACUGGAAAAACCAUAGCCUUGACUAGAUGAACCUUUGUUGGCAAAGUAAUGUCUCUGCUUUUGAAUAUGCUAUCUAGGUUGGUCAUAACUUUCCUUCCAAGGAGUAAGCGUCUUUUAAUUUCAUGGCUGCAAUCACCAUCUGUAGUGAUUUUGGAGCCCAGAAAAAUAAAGUCUGACACUGUUUCCACUGUUUCCCCAUCUAUUUCCCAUGAAGUGGUGGGACCGGAUGCCAUGAUCUUCGUUUUCUGAAUGUUGAGCUUUAAGCCAACUUUUUCACUCUCCACUUUCACUUUCAUCAAGAGGCUUUUGAGUUCCUCUUCACUUUCUGCCAUAAGGGUGGUGUCAUCUGCAUAUCUGAGGUGACUGAUAUAUCUCCGGGCAAUCUUGAUUCCAGUUUGUGUUUCUUCCAGUCCAGCGUUUCUCAUAAGGUACUCUGCAUAUAAGUUAAAUAAACAGGGUGACAAUAUACAGCCUUGAUGAACUCCUUUUCCUAUUUGGAACCAGUCUGUUGUUCCAUGUCCAGUUCUAACUGUUGCUUCCUGACCUACAUACAAAUUUCUCAAGAGGCAGAUCAGGUGGUCUGGUAUUCCCAUCUCUUUCAGAAUUUUCCACAGUUUAUUGUGAUCCACACAGUCAAAGGCUUUGGCAUAGUCAAUAAAGCAGAAAUAGAUGUUUUUCUGGAACUCUCUUGCUUUUUCCAUGAUCCAGAGGAUGUUGGCAAUUUGAUCUCUGGUUCCUCUCCCUUUUCUAAAACCAGCUUGAACAUCAGGAAGUUCACAGUUCACAUAUUGCUGAAGCCUGGCUUGGAGAAUUUUGAGCAUUACUUUACUAGCGUGUGAGAUGAGUGCAAUUGUGUGGUAGUUUGAGCAUUCUUUGGCAUUGCCUUUCUUUGGGAUUGGAAUGAAAACUGACCUUUUCCAGUCCUGUGGCCACUGCUGAAUUUUCCAAAUUUGCUGGCAUAUUGAGUGCAGCACUUUCAUAGCAUCAUCUUUCAGGAUUUGGAAUAGCUCAACUGGAAUUCCGUCACCUCCACUAGCUUUGUUCAUAGUGAUGCUUUCUAAGGCCCACUUGACUUCACAUUCCAGGAUGUCUGGCUCUAGGUCAGUGAUCACACCAUUGUGAUUCUGUGGGUCGUGAAGAUCUUUUUUGUACAGUUCUUCUGUGUAUUCUUGCCAUCUCUUCUUAAUAUCUUCUGCUUCUGUUAGGUCCAUACCAUUUCUGUCCUUUAUCGAGCUCAUCUUUGCAUGAAAUGUUCCUUUGGUAUCUCUGAUUUUCUUGAAGAGAUCCCUAGUCUUUCCCAUUCUGUUGUUUUCCUCUUUCUUUGCAUUGAUCGCUGAAGAAGGCUUUCUUAUCUCUUCUUGCUAUUCUUUGGAACUCUGCAUUCAGAUGUUUAUAUCUUUCCUUUUCUCCUUUGCUUUUCGCUUCUCUUCUUUUCACAGCUAUUUGUAAGGCUUCCCCAGACAGCCAUUUUGCUUUUUUGCAUUUCUUUUCCAUGGGAAUGGUCUUGAUCCCUGUCUCCUGUACAAUGUCACAAACCUCAUUCCAUAGUUCAUCAGGCACUCUAUCUAUCAGAUCUAGGCCCUUAAAUCUAUUUCUCACUUCCACUGUAUCAUCAUAAGGGAUUUGAUUUAGGUCAUACCUUAAUGGUCUAGUGGUUUUCCCUACUUUCUUCGAUUUAAGUCUGAAUUUGGCAAUAAGGAGUUCAUGGUCUGAGCCACAGUCAGCUCCUGGUCUUGUUUUUGCUUACUGUAUAGAGCUUCUCCAUCUUUGGCUGCAAAGAAUAUAAUCAAUCUGAUUUCGGUGUUGACCAUCUGGUGAUAUCCAUGUAUAGAGUCUUCUCUUGUGUUAUUGGAAGAGGGUGUUUGCUAUGACCAGUGUAUUUUCUUGGCAAAACUCUAUUAGUCUUUGCCCUGCUUCAUUCUGUAUUCCAAGGCCAAAUUUGCCUGUUACUCCAGGUGUUUCUUGACUUCCUACUUUUGCAUUCCAGUCCCCUAUAAUGAAAAGGACAUCUUUUUUGGGUGUUAGUUCUAAAAGGUCUUGUAGGUCUUCAUAGAACCGUUCAACUUCAGCUUCUUCAGCAUUACUGGUUGGGGCAUAGACUUGGAUUACUGUGAUAUUGAAUGGUUUGCCUUGGAAAUGAACAGAGAUCAUUCUGUCGUUUUUAAGAUUGCAUCCAAGAACUGCGUUUAAGAGGAUCCAAUGGAGAGAUAAGAUUAUUGUAUUAAAAUAGCCAAUGUCAAAACGUUGAAUCAUCCAAAAAUGCAUAGGAGGUUAUGUGUAAAUUCUUAUUAGCAAAUAUAAUUAAGAAAUGGAGCUUUUGGAGCAAGUGCACAUGCUUGUUAACUUAUUGUAUCAUAAUACACAAAUCAUACCUGCAUUUAUACCUGCAAUGUAUCAAGAAUCAGAAUGCAAUAAAAUAAACUUGACCCUAAACUUGUGUGUACUCUGUCACUUCAGUCCUGUUAGACCCUGUGACCCUAUGG